rnacentral:tRNA from 2 species
GCCUCGAUAGCUCAGCCUGGUAGAGCGAAAGUUUCGUAAACUUUAGGUCGUGGGUUCAAAUCCCAUUCGAGGCU